UACGUAGGGGGCAAGCGUUGUCCGGAAUCAUUGGGCGUAAAGGGUGUGUAGGCGGUUGUUUAAGUUUGGUGUGAAAUCUCCCGGCUCAACUGGGAGGGUGCGCCGAAUACUGAAUGACUUGGAGUGCGGGAGAGGAGAGUGGAAUUCCUGGUGUAGCGGUGAAAUGCGUAGAUAUCAGGAGGAACACCGGUGGUGUAGACGGCUCUCUGGACCGUAACUGACGCUGAGACACGAAAGCGUGGGUAGCAAACAGG
rnacentral:rRNA from 1 species